rnacentral:rRNA from 1 species
CAACUUUCAGCAAUGGAUCUCUUGGCUCUCGCAUCGAUGAAGAACGCAGCGCAWCGAAUCUUUGAACGCACCUUGCGCUCCUUGGUWUUCCGAGGAGCAUGCCUGGUUGAGKGKCAUUA